rnacentral:rRNA from 1 species
UACGUAGGGUGCGAGCGUUAAUCGGAAUUACUGGGCGUAAAGCGUGCGCAGGCGGCGCCGCAAGUCAGGCGUGAAAUCCCCGAGCUUAACUUGGGAAUGGCGCUUGAAACUACGGUGCUGGAGUGUGGCAGAGGGAGGUGGAAUUCCACGUGUAGCGGUGAAAUGCGUAGAGAUGUGGAGGAACACCGAUGGCGAAGGCGCGGCUCUGGGCCGAAACUGACGCUGAGGAGCGAAAGCGUGGGGAGCAAACAGG